rnacentral:lncRNA from 1 species
UUAAUUUAUUGCUGGUUAUUUUCUGUUGACAGAAAUCAAAUAAUGUAUAUAUAACCCAACCAACUGCAGCCAACUAGUGUGUGUUAGAGAAGGAUUCCUUAGGGUAAUACUUUGAUUUCUUUCCCUCUGUGGGUGUGGCUGAAAGAUAAUCUUUGUUCCAGGAACACUUUGUUUGUCUUUUGCUAAACAAAUGUGCAAUUUAUCCACUCUUUAUUCAUUCUUAGAUUUAUCUGCUAGACCUAUUAUGAAUUGGAAAGGGGGAAUGCCCUACACAGCCUUAUUGUCAGCCUGAUUGUCAAUUUCAUGCGUAACUUUGUAUAGGAGUGUUUGUUUAUGUGGGUAUGAAAUGCAUAGGACGUAGGAAGUAACUGAGGAAUUUAAAGAAGAAUUCUUGAAAGGAUUGUUUGGCUUUAUUUGUUUCUUAGUGUACUAGGGCAAAAUAAAAUAUGACAGCUAUUGAACAAUUUACUUUUUUGUAGCUGUGUCAGG